GCGCAAGUGGCGAAAUCGGCAGACGCGCCAGCUUGAGGGGCUGGUGUCCGUAUAGGACGUGCAGGUUCAAAUCCUGUCUUGCGCA
rnacentral:tRNA from 1 species